rnacentral:rRNA from 1 species
GGUUAAGCGACUAAGCGUACACGGUGGAUGCCCUGGCAGUCAGAGGCGAUGAAGGACGUGCUAAUCUGCGAUAAGCGUCGGUAAGGUGAUAUGAACCGUUAUAACCGGCGAUUUCCGAAUGGGGAAACCCAGUGUGUUUCGACACACUAUCAUUAACUGAAUCCAUAGGUUAAUGAGGCGAACCGGGGGAACUGAAACAUCUAAGUACCCCGAGGAAAAGAAAUCAACCGAGAUUCCCCCAGUAGCGGCGAGCGAACGGGGAGCAGCCCAGAGCCUGAAUCAGUNNNNNNNNNNNNNNNNNNNNNNNNNNNNNNNNNNNNNNNNNNNNNNNNNNNNNNNNNNNNNNNNNNNNNNNNNNNNNNNNNNNNNNNNNNNNNNNNNNNNNNNNNNNNNUGUGAGCUCGAUGAGUAGGGCGGGACACGUGGUAUCCUGUCUGAAUAUGGGGGGACCAUCCUCCAAGGCUAAAUACUCCUGACUGACCGAUAGUGAACCAGUACCGUGAGGGAAAGGCGAAAAGAACCCCGGCGAGGGGAGUGAAAAAGAACCUGAAACCGUGUACGUACAAGCAGUGGGAGCACGCUUAGGCGUGUGACUGCGUACCUUUUGUAUAAUGGGUCAGCGACUUAUAUUCUGUAGCAAGGUUAACCGAAUAGGGGAGCCGAAGGGAAACCGAGUCUUAACUGGGCGUUAAGUUGCAGGGUAUAGACCCGAAACCCGGUGAUCUAGCCAUGGGCAGGUUGAAGGUUGGGUAACACUAACUGGAGGACCGAACCGACUAAUGUUGAAAAAUUAGCGGAUGACUUGUGGCUGGGGGUGAAAGGCCAAUCAAACCGGGAGAUAGCUGGUUCUCCCCGAAAGCUAUUUAGGUAGCGCCUCGUGAAUUCAUCUCCGGGGGUAGAGCACUGUUUCGGCAAGGGGGUCAUCCCGACUUACCAACCCGAUGCAAACUGCGAAUACCGGAGAAUGUUAUCACGGGAGACACACGGCGGGUGCUAACGUCCGUCGUGAAGAGGGAAACAACCCAGACCGCCAGCUAAGGUCCCAAAGUCAUGGUUAAGUGGGAAACGAUGUGGGAAGGCCCAGACAGCCAGGAUGUUGGCUUAGAAGCAGCCAUCAUUUAAAGAAAGCGUAAUAGCUCACUGGUCGAGUCGGCCUGCGCGGAAGAUGUAACGGGGCUAAACCAUGCACCGAAGCUGCGGCAGCGACACUAUGUGUUGUUGGGUAGGGGAGCGUUCUGUAAGCCUGUGAAGGUGUGCUGUGAGGCAUGCUGGAGGUAUCAGAAGUGCGAAUGCUGACAUAAGUAACGAUAAAGCGGGUGAAAAGCCCGCUCGCCGGAAGACCAAGGGUUCCUGUCCAACGUUAAUCGGGGCAGGGUGAGUCGACCCCUAAGGCGAGGCCGAAAGGCGUAGUCGAUGGGAAACAGGUUAAUAUUCCUGUACUUGGUGUUACUGCGAAGGGGGGACGGAGAAGGCUAUGUUGGCCGGGCGACGGUUGUCCCGGUUUAAGCGUGUAGGCUGGUUUUCCAGGCAAAUCCGGAAAAUCAAGGCUGAGGCGUGAUGACGAGGCACUACGGUGCUGAAGCAACAAAUGCCCUGCUUCCAGGAAAAGCCUCUAAGCAUCAGGUAACAUCAAAUCGUACCCCAAACCGACACAGGUGGUCAGGUAGAGAAUACCAAGGCGCUUGAGAGAACUCGGGUGAAGGAACUAGGCAAAAUGGUGCCGUAACUUCGGGAGAAGGCACGCUGAUAUGUAGGUGAAGUCCCUCGCGGAUGGAGCUGAAAUCAGUCGAAGAUACCAGCUGGCUGCAACUGUUUAUUAAAAACACAGCACUGUGCAAACACGAAAGUGGACGUAUACGGUGUGACGCCUGCCCGGUGCCGGAAGGUUAAUUGAUGGGGUUAGCCGCAAGGCGAAGCUCUUGAUCGAAGCCCCGGUAAACGGCGGCCGUAACUAUAACGGUCCUAAGGUAGCGAAAUUCCUUGUCGGGUAAGUUCCGACCUGCACGAAUGGCGUAAUGAUGGCCAGGCUGUCUCCACCCGAGACUCAGUGAAAUUGAACUCGCUGUGAAGAUGCAGUGUACCCGCGGCAAGACGGAAAGACCCCGUGAACCUUUACUAUAGCUUGACACUGAACAUUGAGCCUUGAUGUGUAGGAUAGGUGGGAGGCUUAGAAGUGUGGACGCCAGUCUGCAUGGAGCCGACCUUGAAAUACCACCCUUUAAUGUUUGAUGUUCUAACGUUGACCCGUAAUCCGGGUUGCGGACAGUGUCUGGUGGGUAGUUUGACUGGGGCGGUCUCCUCCUAAAGAGUAACGGAGGAGCACGAAGGUUGGCUAAUCCUGGUCGGACAUCAGGAGGUUAGUGCAAUGGCAUAAGCCAGCUUGACUGCGAGCGUGACGGCGCGAGCAGGUGCGAAAGCAGGUCAUAGUGAUCCGGUGGUUCUGAAUGGAAGGGCCAUCGCUCAACGGAUAAAAGGUACUCCGGGGAUAACAGGCUGAUACCGCCCAAGAGUUCAUAUCGACGGCGGUGUUUGGCACCUCGAUGUCGGCUCAUCACAUCCUGGGGCUGAAGUAGGUCCCAAGGGUAUGGCUGUUCGCCAUUUAAAGUGGUACGCGAGCUGGGUUUAGAACGUCGUGAGACAGUUCGGUCCCUAUCUGCCGUGGGCGCUGGAGAACUGAGGGGGGCUGCUCCUAGUACGAGAGGACCGGAGUGGACGCAUCACUGGUGUUCGGGUUGUCAUGCCAAUGGCACUGCCCGGUAGCUAAAUGCGGAAGAGAUAAGUGCUGAAAGCAUCUAAGCACGAAACUUGCCCCGAGAUGAGUUCUCCAUGACUCCUUGAGAGACCUGAAGGAACGUUGAAGACGACGACGUUGAUAGGCCGGGUGUGUAAGCGCAGCGAUGCG